rnacentral:misc_RNA from 1 species
GACCGAUGUUGUUUCCUGCUUUCCUCUUCUUCUCGUCGAUUUAAGCUGCCUUGUUCUAGUGUGCUUUGCCGCCACUGCCUCUUGUGUUAAGCUGAUAGAGUUUUCGGAGCUAGCAAUAUCGUCAAGUUCCUACAUUUUUAUGCGACUAAAGCUGAUCGCAAAUUCGAGAAGGAACUUCAGUUUUAUUACAAGGUUAGAGAUACGGUUGCCAGUUUGACUGCACAAAAGCCCAUUACUAAGGCAACACUUGUCCAACCCCCAUGCCUCUUUGUUGUGGGACUCUAUCAGCUUUUUACCUUCACACCAAGCUCCAA